rnacentral:rRNA from 1 species
GACGAACGCUGGCGGCGUGCUUAACACAUGCAAGUCGAACGGAAAGGCCCUGCUUUUGUGGGGUGCUCGAGUGGCGAACGGGUGAGUAACACGUGAGUAACCUGCCCUUGACUUUGGGAUAACUUCAGGAAACUGGGGCUAAUGCCGGAUAGGAGCUCCUGCUGCAUGGUGGGGGUUGGAAUGUUUCGGCGGUUGGGGCUGGACUCGCGGGUUAUCAGCUUGUUGGUGGGGUAGUGGCUUACCCAGGCUUUGACGGGUAGCCGGCCUGGGAGGGGGACCGGCGUCACUGGGACUACGGGACGCGGCAGAGUCGAAUAGGGGACAACGGUGGGGAGAAUGGUACAAUGGGGGGGAGCGUGUGACGGAGGCGCCGCGUGCGGGAUGACGGCCUUCUGGGGGUGAAGCGCUUUCACCUGUGACGAAGCGUGAUUGACGUUAACAGGUGAAGAAGCACCGGCUAACUACGUG